rnacentral:rRNA from 1 species
UACGAAGGGGGCUAGCGUUGCUCGGAAUCACUGGGCGUAAAGGGCGCGUAGGCGGCGUUUUUAAGUCGGGGGUGAAAGCCUGUGGCUCAACCACAGAACGGCCUCGAUACUGGGACGCUUGAGUAUGGUAGAGGUUGGUGGAACUGCGAGUGUAGAGGUGAAAUUCGUAGAUAUUCGCAAGAACACCGGUGGCGAAGGCGGCCAACUGGACCAUUACUGACGCUGAGGCGCGAAAGCGUGGGGAGCAAACAGG